rnacentral:sRNA from 1 species
GUUUGCACUCAUCGGGGAAGGGUGAGAACCUUCGACUAAGGUUCAAUUCGAGCGAAAGCGAGAGAACGUUGCCACAGGCAACGGCCCGAAGGGUGAGGAGCGAAGCGACGAAUAAUCCUUCCCCCACCACCA